rnacentral:rRNA from 1 species
AGAGUUUGAUCCUGGCUCAGGACGAACGCUGGCGGCGUGCUUAACACAUGCAAGUCGAACGGACCUUUUUUAAUUGAAGUUUUCGGAUGGAUUUUAAUUAAGGUUAGUGGCGGACGGGUGAGUAACGCGUGGGUAACCUGCCCUAAAGACCGGGACAACAGUUGGAAACGACUGCUAAUACCGGAUGUGCUAUAUUUGCGGCAUCGCAGAUAUAGGAAAUGGAGGCCUCUAUUUAUAAGCUCCCGCUUUAGGAUGGACCCGCGUCUGAUUAGCUAGUUGGUGGGGUAACGGCUCACCAAGGCGACGAUCAGUAGCCGGCCUGAGAGGGUGAACGGCCACACUGGGACUGAGACACGGCCCAGACUCCUACGGGAGGCAGCAGUGGGGAAUCUUCCGCAAUGGGCGAAAGCCUGACGGAGCAACGCCGCGUGAAUGAAGAAGGCCUUCGGGUCGUAAAGUUCUGUCUUUAGGGACGAAUGGGUAUGCGCAAAUAGUGUAUGCUUUGACGGUACCUUAGGAGGAAGCUCCGGCUAACUACGUGCCAGCAGCCGCGGUAAUACGUAGGGAGCAAGCGUUGUCCGGAAUUACUGGGCGUAAAGGGCGCGUAGGCGGGAAUGCAAGUCAGAUGUGAAAACUCCGGGCUCAACUUGGAGAUUGCAUUUGAAACUGUGUUUCUUGAGGGCAGGAGAGGAAAGUGGAAUUCCUAGUGUAGCGGUGAAAUGCGUAGAUAUUAGGAGGAACACCAGUGGCGAAGGCGACUUUCUGGACUGUACCUGACGCUGAGGCGCGAAAGCGUGGGUAGCAAACGGGAUUAGAUACCCUGGUAGUCG